rnacentral:rRNA from 1 species
UCGAGCGGUAAGGCCCCUUCGGGGGUACACGAGCGGCGAACGGGUGAGUAACACGUGAGCAACCUACCCUCAACUUCGGGAUAAGCCUCGGAAACGGGGUCUAAUACCGGAUAUCACUCCAUUCUUCAUGGUUUGGGGUUGAAAGUUCUGGCGGUUGGGGAUGGGCUCGCGGCCUAUCAGCUUGUUGGUGGGGUAAUGGCCUACCAAGGCGUCGACGGGUAGCCGGCCUGAGAGGGCGACCGGCCACACUGGGACUGAGACACGGCCCAGACUCCUACGGGAGGCAGCAGUGGGGAAUAUUGCGCAAUGGGCGAAAGCCUGACGCAGCAACGCCGCGUGAGGGAUGACGGCCUUCGGGUUGUAAACCUCUUUCAGCAGGGACGAAGCGAGAGUGACGGUACCUGCAGAAGAAGGACCGGCCAACUACGUGCCAGCAGCCGCGGUAAUACGUAGGGUCCGAGCGUUGUCCGGAAUUAUUGGGCGUAAAGGGCUCGUAGGCGGUUCGUCACGUCGGGAGUGAAAACUCGGAGCUUAACUCCGAGCCUGCUUCCGAUACGGGCAGACUAGAGGUAGGCAGGGGGAGAGCGGAACUCCUGGUGUAGCGGUGGAAUGCGCAGAUAUCAGGAAGAACACCGGUGGCGAAGGCGGCUCUCUGGGCCUUACCUGACGCUGAGGAGCGAAAGCGUG